CCCUUCUACAAUUGUUAGUGUUGCCAUGGGCUGAGGGACGACUGAAUGACCCAAGGAACUCUCUUGGCUGAAGUUUGCAGCUCAGAGCCGAUUGUUGGUUACUAGGCGAGAGAAAAAAAACGAUAUACAUAGAAGUUCAGAGCUCAUUCAACGCAAAAGGAUUCACUGAUCUAGAGGAGAAUGUUUUUAUUCUUAAUGGAAACUUAGCCCAAGAAUGGUAAGAUCCCAUACUGAGUCUAAAGAUGGGAUUGGACAAAUACCACGUGGCAGUAGGUAGAUGUAAUUAGCCAUACAUAAUUUGGAGAAUAAGAAGUUCUUUAUAAGACCAUGAAAUGGCUACAGAUCCCCCGAAUGAGCCUGAACCUGAGGAAGAUGUCAAGAACAGCCUGGAAUGCCCCAUUUGUUACAUCACCUAUGACAACAUCUUCAAGACCCCAUUAUUGCUCCCAUGUUCUCACACAUUCUGCAUGCAAUGUCUCUCCAGACUUUGUCUGUUUCUCAAAAAAUCCCAGGACUUUCCCUGUCCGCUCUGCAGGAACUUGGCCCAAAUUCCUCCAGAAGGAAUACCAAAAAUAAAACCUAAUCUUGACAUUGUGGCCCACAUGCCGCCUGAAAUGCAAAACCUCCAGGAAGUCUGGCUGUCCGGAUACAAGCUAUGUUCAGUAGGAAAAAAGGACUCGGUAGGCGCCAGAGGAUCACUAAUGACACUCCAUCUCUUAUCCAAUGACCAGCAUAUUCCUCCUGGCCCAGAUCGUCUAAUCACUACUGGACAACAUGGCUGCAGGGCCUUCAUGAGAAGUGUGUGGGGUGUUGGGUUCACAAUAUUGAUUCUUGGGAUCUUGCUAUUCACUGUGUUGUUCUUACCAAUCUAUAUGAAUAUAAAAUAGGUAACUGGAGUUAUAAAGUCGAAUUCCAGGCACCACCUAACUAAUCCUAAAACUUUUCACCUCUAGCAUCUAUUCUGACUAACUUGUGUAAGUAAGAGCUGUAUACUUACCUAUUUUCAGGCCGCUCUGGUCUGGUCACAUGGUCCGGCUCCUCUGUGUUAGCUAGCAGCUGCUGCAGGGGAGAGGAGGGAGCACCAACAACAAAUGGGCCAUUGAAGCCAUUGUUGAAGUGCUCUAUUCUCUCCUCUGCAACCGGCCCUGGCUGAUGCAGGGGAGAUCACGUGAACGGACCAGAAAAUAAGUAAAUAUAGAGCUCUUUCUUACACCGGUUAGUCAAAAUAGGUGUUGGGAGGUGGAGGGAGCAUUUUUAAGAUUAGCAAGGCGGUGCCUGGAAUUCCACUUUAAGCCUUUUAAAACUUUUA